CCUACGGGUGGCAGCAGUGAGGAAUAUUGGUCAAUGGGCGGGAGCCUGAACCAGCCAAGCCGCGUGAGGGAAGAAGGUACUGCGUAUCGUAAACCUCUUUUGCCAGGGAACAAAGGCGGGGACUAGUCCCCGGAUGAGGGUAACCGAAGAAAAAGCAACGGCUAACACCGUUCCAGCCGCCGCGGUAAUACGGGGGAUGCGAGCGGUUUCCGGAUUUAUUGGGUUUAAAGGGUGCGGAGGCGGCCUGUUAAGUCAGCGGUAAAAGCCCGGGGCUCAACCCCGGCGAGCCGUUGAAACUGGCGGGCUGGAGGUGGAGAGAAGUACGCGGAAUGCGCGGUGUAGCGGUGAAAUGCUUAGAUAUCGCGCAGAACCCCGAUUGCGAAGGCAGCGUACCGGCUCCACACUGACGCUGAGGCACGAAAGCGUGGGUAUCGAACAGGAUUAGAUACCCUUGUAGUC
rnacentral:rRNA from 1 species